GAUGAACGCUGGCGGCGUGCCUAAUACAUGCAAGUCGAGCGAACAGACGAGGAGCUUGCUCCUCUGACGUUAGCGGCGGACGGGUGAGUAACACGUGGAUAACCUACCUAUAAGACUGGGAUAACUUCGGGAAACCGGAGCUAAUACCGGAUAACAUGUUAAACCGCAUGGUUCAACAGUGAAAGACGGUCUUGCUGUCACUUAUAGAUGGAUCCGCGCCGCAUUAGCUAGUUGGUAAGGUAACGGCUUACCAAGGCAACGAUGCGUAGCCGACCUGAGAGGGUGAUCGGCCACACUGGAACUGAGACACGGUCCAGACUCCUACGGGAGGCAGCAGUAGGGAAUCUUCCGCAAUGGGCGAAAGCCUGACGGAGCAACGCCGCGUGAGUGAAGAAGGUCUUCGGAUCGUAAAACUCUGUUAUUAGGGAAGAACAAAUGUGUAAGUAACUAUGCACGUCUUGACGGUACCUAAUCAGAAAGCCACGGCUAACUACGUG
rnacentral:rRNA from 1 species